rnacentral:misc_RNA from 1 species
GCAGUGUGCUGGAACCCGCCUUUUAAAGGGCAUCCACGAUCGCACUACACAACUUUGCACAACACCACGUCGCACAAAACAUACAAAAUAAAGAUACUCGCAUCCACUAUACAGUUCUCAAACAACAAUGAACACAACAUGCACACAUGCACUGCAAAAAGAACUGAAGNGCACAAAAUGUGAUAACCCACAACCAACAGAUGCCCUCAAACCCAACCAUCACAUUGCAGUGAAUGCCAAAUUCCACUCACAAAAACUCCUUAGAAAUGUGAGGUGAUCCAUGGCUGACCUUCCUGGUACUGGUACCUUGUUACUGAUUAGUCCUAAUCACCAGUCCCACCUUCGACUGUGUCCCCCACAAAUGGUUAUGUGCCACCUGUGCUUCUGUGGUGUUACCAACUUUCAUUGACUUGACUGGGCUGGUGUGUACAAUGCCCCUGGANACUGUAUUCACCUGCAGCUGUUUGCUUGAUCUUGCGGAUUUACUAGCUGAACUCCGACUUCAUGAGGUCAGAGUUGCAGANCCCAAUCCUGAAAUUGAGACUGGUUCCCGAAGAUUCCGUCACCCUCACACAGGNUCGCAAAUCUCUUGUAACCAAGCCAUUGUAAGAUGGUGUGAAAGCCCUGG